rnacentral:lncRNA from 1 species
GCGCGUGCGGGCUGUGCGAUUUGCCUCGCAUCUAUAUACAACAACUACUACUACGUACUUGUGUGAUGUGACGAAUGGAUUUGAAUAAAUGGGGCGAACCAGGUGAUCCCCCGGGGAGAGCAUAUACUAUAUAUGCAUGUCGAUCGGUCGGUCUUAUAGUAUUUGCGCUUGAGAUAAAUGGAGAUUACUACAGAGUGAUGAACUACUACUAUACAUAUUAAGUUACUUCUCACUUUUUCCCAGUGUUACCGUGCGUGCAACCUCGUCUUCCUGGCCAAAAAUUACCAUUUCAUUUACCAAAGCAACGUCUUCCUGGCAAAAGAUCAGCUAACGUUAAGCUGUAAAAACUUGACACUGAGCCUGCGCCGUGGCCUUAGCCGGUUCAUGGGACCGGACUUACUGAAACCAGCUUAUCAAUAGGUUCGACCAAUCUUGGCCUUGCAUUGCUUGGUCUCCGCCUGGUGUGAUGCGGUGUUCCAACAAGCUGAGUGAAUCAAUUAUUCAGAGAACUCGAAACUAAAAAAAAA